CAACUUUCAACAACGGAUCUCUUGGUUCGGCAUCGAUGAAGAACGCAGCGAAAUGCGAUACGUAGUGUGAAUUGCAGAAUUCAGUGAAUCAUCGAAUCUUUGAACGCACAUUGCGCCCUUUGGUAUUCCAAAGGGCAUGCCUGUUCGAGCGUCAUUU
rnacentral:rRNA from 1 species